GGGGGGGUUUUCUGAAUGAAAGUUGAAAAUAUGUAUUUUCCAGAUGUAAAUAAAUACAUAUUUCUGGACAUUGAAAAUACACAAUUUACAUAUUUGAAAAUAUAUAUUUUUCAGUCAUUGAUUCUACGGCCAAAAUUCAAAUGCAUAUACAUUCUCAAUGAAGUAAUCAUUAUUUCACAAUAUAAAUGUUUCAAGCCACUUAAUAUUGGAACGAGGAGCCAACUGAAGAUUGCAACAGAACAUGUAUUAUUGCUCCCAUCAAUAUCAUGCACUCAUAUCAGCUAUGAUGUUCAAAGUAGUCCACCCAACAGACCACUCCAACUACAAUAGCAUCCUCAGUAACGGUUACAGGUGUGUUGUUGAUUGUAACUUGCUCUGGAUAAGAGCAUCUGCUGAAUGCCCAAAAUGUAAAUGUAAAAACAAACUCUUGCAAAGCAUGCUGGGUAUUAUUCAAAUGAGCUCCGCCCCUAAACAAGUACCCAUUUGUUCCGUGCAGACCAGAUCCAAAUCUGAAAGAAUCAUAGACGUCUAAGCUGUAUUUCACAAGUUUGAACAUCACAGUACAGUACGGCACAGUUUAGUACAGUAGAGCAUAGCAGAGUACAGUACAGUUUAAUUCAGUAGAGUACAGAACAGUACAGUAUAGUUUAAUUCAGUAGAGUAGAGUACGGUAUAGUUUAAUUCAGUAGAGUAUAGUACAGUGCAGUAGAUAAAGGCUCAAAAAUAAAUUCUGGGGACUCUCCCAACACGAUGCAGACAUUCCAGAACAUCGCUAUUCAAAACCAAUGUUUUCAGGCAAAACCUUUGCAGUGGUUUUAGUUAAGGUAAUUAAUGGAAACUAGCCAUUUGCGAAAUGCACUCAUUAAAAAUAAGCUGUGUGAUCUCCAUCUUGUUAGCUAAAAUGUUGUUUUUAUUCAAGAGCAUAAAGAAGUGUCGUAGGUAGUUCCUCUAUGAAAAGAGUCCAUAAUUGAAACCAGACUCUAGUCACUCUGUUCCCUAGGGUCGGGUUUUCCAGACUACCCGUGUGGUACCGAUCAAGAAUCUCCUCAGGGCCGCCCAUCAAAAUUAGCCUACAUUUAGGCAAUUGUUUGUGUAUUUCACUAACAUGUUGGGGGUAAAAAUCACAGUAUAAUGCUUGUUUGAAUGUCAACCCCAAUACGUUCAUUUCAUCAUCACCAAUCAACUGCAUUAGGCUUAUGCCUAAAAAUUACUUUAACUGCCACCAGUCAUUUUUAUAUGGCUAGGUAUACCAGCUUAUCAGAACGGGAGUAAGAUUAGCAGACACUUUUUCUAAACCCAAAAAGGACAACUUUGAAAUAUUAUGCAGUGAAAACAGCCAACAAUCCAACUGAGAUUUUAGUAUCCACAUUGUGGGCCUCUUCACAUAAAUCAUGACAGAUUUGACAAAGAUUUACUAAUGAAGUGAGAGACUGGUAGGGGCCUACUGGCUGGAUGUAGUGAGAGACUGGUAGGGGCCUACUGGCUGGAUGUAGUGAGAGACUGGUAGGGGCCUACUGGCUGGAUGUAGUGAGAGACUGGUAGGGGCCUACUGGCUGGAUGUAGUGAGAGACUGGUAGGGACCUACUGGCUGGAUGUGGUGAGAGACUGGUAGGGGCCUACUGGCUGGAUGUAGUGAGAGACUGGUAGGGGCCUACUGGCUGGAUGUAGUGAGAGACUGGUAGGGGCCUACUGGCUGGAUGUAGUGAGAGACUGGUAGGGACCUACUGGCUGGAUGUGGUGAGAGACUGGUAGGAGCCUACUGGCUGGAUGUAGUGAGAGACUGGUAGGGGCCUACUGGCUGGAUGUGGUGAGAGACUGGUAGGGGCCUACUGGCUGGAUGUAGUGAGAGACUGGUAGGGGCCUACUGGCUGGAUGUAGUGAGACACUGGUAGGGCCUACUGGCUGGAUUUACUAGUCUCAGAAACCCAGACAUAGGAGCAAGAGCACGAGGUCUUGGGAGGCUGUCAGAUUCUCGUAGACAUGCCGAAAUGGGAAGACAUUUUUCUGGUGGAGGUUUCUACCUGAAACCUGUUCAGCAAGGUUGCAGAAGGUUCAGAUAGAAAAUCUAGUCUUUGUGAUGUGGUGUAGGUGGUCUGUGUGUGUUGUGGUGUAGGUCUGUGUGUGUUGUGGUGUAGGUGGUCUGUGUGUGUUGUGGUGUAGGUGGUCUGUGUGUGUUGUGGUGUAGGUGGUCUGUGUGUGUUGUGGUGUAGGUGGUCUGUGUGUGUUGUGGUGUAGGUCUGUGUGUGUGUGUUGUGGUGUAGGUGUAGGUAGUCUGUGUGUAUUGUGGUGUAGGUGGUCUGUGUGUGUUCUAGUGUAGGUGGGUCUGUGUGUGUUGUGGUGUAGGUGUGUGUUGUGGUGUAGGUAGUCUGUGUGUGUUGUGGUGUAGGUCGUCUGUGUGUGUUGUGGGGUAGGUGGUGUGUGUGUUGUGGGGUAGGUGGUCUGUGUGUGUUGUGGGGUAGGUGGUGUGUGUGUUGUGAGGUAGGUGGUCUGUGUGUGUUGUGGGGUAGGUGGUCUGUGUGUGUGUGUGUGUGUGUGUGUGUGUGUGUGUGGCUGUGUGUGUGGUGGUGUAGGUGGUCUGUGUGUGUGUGUUGUGUAGGUGGUGUGUAUUGUGGUGUGUGUGUUUUCCCCCCAUUCUGUUUGUUCAGUAUAUUUGACAGUAUACAUUACAUUUUGUUCUAUACAGUAUGUUUCGUUUAGUUUAUUUAUACAUAGGUCUGUUACUCGAUUAAAAAAUGUGUUGAUUAUUAUUAUUUUUAGGUUAGUUGAGUAGUCUGUAAAUGUUUAUCUGGUCUCCAUCCCUGUGUAGGUAUAUUUACAUUAUAAACAGCCUGGAGGUGGCAAUAGGCUCUAUAGGCUCUAUGUGUGUAUUGGGAAGAGCCAACAGUGGAAGAGCCAACAGUGGAAGAGCCAACAGUGGAAGAGCCAACAGUGCCAGUCUUGGUAGAUUCAGGUCGCUUUCCCCUGCUCAGAUGUUGCACGCAUCAACCAAUGCUUACAUACAACAUCAUCGACCGUGUCAUCGACUGACUGAAUGCUAGAACAUAUGAUGUGGUUAGCUGAUAGGUAAAAAACACCUAUCCAGUCCUGAUAAGAUCUGGCAAGAGUCAGCAACGCCUGGGCAGAGGAAUGUGUCUGCUAUGCAUGAUGACGUCAUAUCCCUACAACGAGAGGGAGGCCGACACAUUGACAGUACUAUUCAUAGACAAUAGGUGGCAGUAUAGUAUCAUAGAUCCUGCUUGUACUAAAGCUUCAAUGAGAACCUUUCCUUCUCUAGGCUCUACUCUCCAGGCCCUUUACUCUUUUCUAUUUUUGCCAAUUGCCUGCCACUGGCAUUAAACAAAGCAUGUGUGUCCAUGUAUGCUGAUGAUUCAACCAUAUACGCUAUGCGUCAGCAACCACAGCUAAUGAAGACACUGAAACCUUUAGCAAAGAGUUGCAGUCUGUUUUGGAAUGGGUGGCCAGUAAUAAACUGGUCCUGAACAUCUCUAAAACUAAGAGCAUUGUAUUUGGUAAAAAUCAUUCCUUAAGUUCUAGACAGCUGAAUCUGGUAAUGAACGGUGUGGCUGUUGAACAAGUUGAGGAGGAUAAAUUACUUGGCGAUACCUUUUGAUUGUAAACUGUCAUGGUCAAAAUAUAUAGAUUCAAUGGUUGUAAAGAUGGGGAGAGGUCUGUCCGUAAUAAAGAGAUACUCAGCUUUUUUGACACCACACUCCAGAAAGCAAGUUCUGCAGGAAUAUAGUUUUAUCUUAUCUUAAGGUAACAUAACUAAAUGACUAUCACACCGUAGCACUCACUUCUGUCAUCAUGAAGUGCUUUGAGAGACUUGUCAAGGAUCAUAUCACCUCCACCCUACCUGAUACCCUAGAGCCACUUCAAUUUGGGUACCGCCCAAAUAGGUCCACAGACGAUGCAAUCGCCAUCACACUGCACAUGGCCCUAUCCCACCUGGACAAGAGGAAUACCUAUGUAAGAAUGCUGUUCAUUGACUACAGCUCAGCAUUCAAAACCAUAGUGCCCUCCAAGCUCAUCAUUAAGCUUGAGGCCUUGGGUCUCAACCCCGCCCUGUGCAAUUGGGCCCUGGACUUCUUGACGGGCCGCCCCCAGGUGGUGAAGGUAGGAAACAACAUCUCCACUUCGCUGAUCCUCAACACUGGGGCUCCACAAGGGGGCUUGCUCAGCCCCCUCUUGUACUCCCUGUUCACCCAUGAC
rnacentral:lncRNA from 1 species